rnacentral:ncRNA from 1 species
AGAAACUAAAGAGAUGAUCAUUUAUGGAUGACCUUCGAGUGACCCCUUAGUGACCGUUCAGCUGGCCGUUCUUAGUUGGUGGAGCGAUUUGUCUGGUUAAUUCCGAUAACGAACGAGACUUUAACCUGCUAAAUAGUAGACUGGUCCUCUGUGCUCGUUUAGGGCGCGGCUUCUAUUGCUUCUUUAUGGAGUAGUGUGGUCGUGAUCCGGCGGGUGCGGUGCCAGUUUUUACUUCUUAGAGGGACAAGCGGCACACUUAAGUCGCACGAAAUUGAGCAAUAACAGGUCUGUGAUGCCCUUAGAU